AGGGUUUGAUUAUGGCUCAGGAUGAACGCUGGCGGCGUGCUUAACACAUGCAAGUCGAGCGAAGCAUAUAAGAUGAAGUUUUCGGACGGAGCCUUAUUUGACUGAGCGGCGGACGGGUGAGUAACGCGUGGGUAACCUGCCUCAUACAGGGGGAUAACAGCUAGAAAUGGCUGCUAAUACCGCAUAAGACCACAGCGCCACAUGGCGCAGGGGUAAAAACUCCGGUGGUAUGAGAUGGACCCGCGUCUGAUUAGCUAGUUGGUGGGGUAACGGCCCACCAAGGCGACGAUCAGUAGCCGACCUGAGAGGGUGACCGGCCACAUUGGGACUGAGACACGGCCCAA
rnacentral:rRNA from 1 species